AUUGAACGCUGGCGGCAUGCUUUACACAUGCAAGUCGAACGGUAACAGGCCGCAAGGUGCUGACGAGUGGCGAACGGGUGAGUAAUGCAUCGGAACGUGCCCAGUCGUGGGGGAUAGCGCAGCGAAAGCUGUGCUAAUACCGCAUACGAUCUAUAGAUGAAAGCGGGGGACCGUAAGGCCUCGCGCGAUUGGAGCGGCCGAUGUCAGAUUAGGUAGUUGGUGGGGUAAAGGCCUACCAAGCCAACGAUCUGUAGCUGGUCUGAGAGGACGACCAGCCACACUGGGACUGAGACACGGCCCAGACUCCUACGGGAGGCAGCAGUGGGGAAUUUUGGACAAUGGGCGCAAGCCUGAUCCAGCAAUGCCGCGUGCAGGAAGAAGGCCUUCGGGUUGUAAACUGCUUUUGUACGGAACGAAACGGUCUGGGUUAAUACCCUGGACUAAUGACGGUACCGUAAGAAUAAGCACCGGCUAACUACGUGCCAGCCGCCGCGGUAACAC
rnacentral:rRNA from 1 species